CGUACGGAUUGUGAGAAAAAUCCAACUUCGCUAUCCCCCAAUUCCGGUUUCCAACUGGAUUGAGAAUAUUAUGAAGCUAUACUAGUGCAGCGGAAUCGACAUAGUUUCGCCCAUGAGACCGCGCAUGGCCGAUCAAUUCCCAUUUGGCAGCUUCUAGCACUCCUCAAGAAUAGGCAAACAUUGGUGCUUCAUCCGAUAAAAAGCAAAAUAACAAAACCGUUCAUCAUCCUACAACCACUUGCAAUGGUGCAUACAAUGACGGCACUUCGGACGGCAUGCAACAUAUCAAUGGAACUUGCGAAAUUCCCGAAAUUCCCAUGGCCGAGUGACAAAGUAGUGCGGUAUACCGUGUGUUAAAAAAAGCUUCAACCGAACACACAUCGACAACAUCCGGACAACUACAGAAAAAACAACUUUCCUACGUUCAUUUCAAUUUGUAUGUUUCCUGGUCUUGCCGAUCCGGAACUGUCAUCUAUAGGAAAUGGCCAUGAAGGAGGCCGGGAAAAGUCCGGGAGUCGUUCAGCAUAGAGAAGGCAUGGGCACAAAUGGGAUCCUGUUAUUAUUUUUCGUUCUAAGAGCUAUUUUGAUAUGCUGCUGAAAUAACGAUCGGAUCGCAGAUUUUUAUUUGAAAGAUCAUUGUACCAGCCGAGAGUUUUUCUUCAAACGGCCAUACCGUCAGAAACCCUAUUGCAGUUCCGGUCGAGGUUCCGGUAUGGCAUGCCGUCAUGCCGAGAUUUUUAAUCUGCUUGAGUUGUCGGACCUCAAGGACCACAUUGUGGACGCACGACGGAAAUACACGAUGACAUUUAUUCAAUAUGAAUCAUUGAUUAUAUUUACGGAGAUACAUUUGCAUAACUUGGUGAAUCGCAUUGCUGCCCACACUACCGUAAUGUGUAAUAAAUUACCGUAAUGAUUACGAAUACAUACCUAUUUUAAGAUCACUUCAAAA